rnacentral:lncRNA from 1 species
CAAAUAUCCAAGAUAUUAAGUUGACAGAAGUUAUGUGUUGAAAAACAGGAGGAACAGUGAUCCCUAUAUAUGGUUCUUUAAUGUUGGUUGCUGGUUACUAAAUUAAAUAAAAUACAAAAAAGUAUUAUACUCUUUACAACUUAAUGUUAUUAACUUUAUUAAAAACCCUAACUGUGCUUUAUACAGACAAACCGGGCGUUAAUACAGGGCCAUUACAAAAAAACAGGGCCAUUACAGAAAAACAGGGCCAUUACAGAAAAAAAACAGGGCCAUUACAGAAAAUGUUAUUUUUAAUAACCAGUCAUUUUUGGCAAUAAUGUACUUAGU